UGCGUAGGCGGAUCAGUAAGUCAGUGGUGAAAUCUCUCGGCUCAACCGGGAAACUGCCAUUGAUACUGUUGAUCUUGAGUUCGGUAGAGGUAGGCGGAAUGUGUAAUGUAGCGGUGAAAUGCUUAGAUAUUACACAGAACACCAAUUGCGUAGGCAGCUUACUAGACCGACACUGACGCUGAGGCACGAAAGCGUGGGUAGCGAACAGGAUUAGAUACCCUGGUAGUCC
rnacentral:rRNA from 1 species